AUUGAACGCUGGCGGCAGGCCUAACACAUGCAAGUCGAGCGAGGGGCGGACGGGUGAGUAAUGGGUGUGGACUGCCCGAGAGAGGGGGAGAACGACUGGAAACGGUGGCUAAUACCGCAUACUGUCGGGUUACGCCGAUGGGAUUAGCUAGUUGGGAAGAUAAUGGCUUACCUAGCCGACGAUCCCUAGCUGGUCUGAGAGUAUGAUCAGCCACACUGGAACUGAGACACGGCCCAGACUCCUACGGAGGCAGCAGUGGGGAAUAUUGCACAAUGGGCGCAAGCCUGAUGCAUCCAUGCCGCGUGUAUGAAGAAGGCCUUAGGGUUGUAAAGUAUUUUAAGUCGGGAGGCGUUACCGACAGAAGAAGCACCGGCUAACUCCGUGCCAGCAGCCGCGGUAAUUC
rnacentral:rRNA from 1 species